ACUUCCGCUAGCUCGUUGAAACUA
rnacentral:siRNA from 1 species